GUCCACGCUGUAAACGAUGUCGACUAGCCGUUGGGCCCUUUUAGGGUUUAGUGGCGCAGCUAACGCAUUAAGUCGACCGCCUGGGGAGUACGGCCGCAAGGUUAAAACUCAAAUGAAUUGACGGGGGCCCGCACAAGCGGUGGAGCAUGUGGUUUAAUUCGAUGCAACGCGAAGAACCUUACCUACCCUUGACAUCCAAAGAAUUUGGCAGAGAUGCCUUAGUGCCUUCGGGAACUUUGAGACAGGUGCUGCAUGGCUGUCGU
rnacentral:rRNA from 1 species